rnacentral:rRNA from 1 species
GACGAACGCUGGCGGCGUGCUUAACACAUGCAAGUCGAACGAAGCUUGAUUACGGAUUCUUCGGAUGAUGUAUGAUAUGACUGAGUGGCGGACGGGUGAGUAACGCGUGAGUAACCUGCCCUUCAGAGGGGGAUAGCGUUCGGAAACGAACGGUAAUACCGCAUAAUGUAUUUUGACCGCAUGAUCGAAAUACCAAAGAUUUAUCGCCGAAGGAUGGACUCGCGGCUGAUUAGGUAGUUGGUGGGGUAACGGCCUACAAAGGCGACGAUCAGUCGCCGGACUGAGAGGUUGAUCGGCCACAUUGGGACUGAGACACGGCCCAGACUCCUACGGGAGGCAGCAGUGGGGAAUAUUGCACAAUGGGCGAAAGCCUGAUGCAGCAACGCCGCGUGAGGGAAGAAGGUUUUAGGAUUGUAAACUUCUGUUAUUAGUGAAGAAAAAGGACGGUAGGUAAGGAGAAGGCCAGGGCAAACUAGG